rnacentral:rRNA from 1 species
AAUCAACGCUGGCGGCGUGCCUAACACAUGCAAGUCGAACGCGAAAGUCCCGCAAGGGAUUAGUAGAGUGGCAAACGGGUGAGUAACACGUGGGUGACCUGCCUUCGAGUGGGGGAGUAACGUCCCGAAGGGACGCUAAUACCGCAUAACAUCCUGCCUUUGUAAGAGGUGGAGAUCAAAGCUGGGGACCGGCAAGGCCUGGCGCUGGAAGAGGGG